rnacentral:snoRNA from 1 species
CCAUGGCCCUAUCGAAGCUGCGUCUGUCUUGCUUGUGUAGCUGGCGUGGUCAAAAAGGAGCCAAGAGUGAUUUAUGUUUUCCUUGACGGUCGCUGUUCAGUUAGUUCCUUUUAUAACUGUCCAGCAACAUUUUCAGGAAAGUACAUGU